UACGGAGGAUCCAAGCGUUAUCCGGAAUCAUUGGGUUUAAAGGGUCCGUAGGCGGUUUAAUAAGUCAGUGGUGAAAGCCCAUCGCUCAACGGUGGAACGGCCAUUGAUACUGUUAAACUUGAAUUAUGAGGAAGUAACUAGAAUAUGUAGUGUAGCGGUGAAAUGCUUAGAGAUUACAUGGAAUACCAAUUGCGAAGGCAGGUUACUACUAAUGGAUUGACGCUGAUGGACGAAAGCGUGGGUAGCGAACAGG
rnacentral:rRNA from 1 species